CAGAGGGGGCAAGCGUUGUUCGGAAUUACUGGGCGUAAAGGGCGCGUAGGCGGCCCACUAAGUCGAACGUGAAAUCCCUGGGCUCAACCCAGGAACUGCGUCCGAUACUGGUGGGCUCGAAUCCGGGAGAGGGAUGUGGAAUUCCAGGUGUAGCGGUGAAAUGCGUAGAUAUCUGGAGGAACACCGGUGGCGAAGGCGACAUCCUGGACCGGUAUUGACGCUGAGGCGCGAAAGCCAGGGGAGCAAACGGGAUUAGAUACCCCGGUAGUCCUGGCCCUAAACGAUGAAUGCUUGGUGUGGCGGGUAUCGAUCCCUGCCGUGCCGAAGCUAACGCAUUAAGCAUUCCGCCUGGGGAGUACGGUCGCAAGGCUG
rnacentral:rRNA from 1 species